GCUUAGUAGUGUAAUCUAUCACAUAAUCACAUUGAGGACCGUAUAAUUUUUCCCCCAUACAGCAAACAUGAUAAAGAGGAUCAUUGUCAAAGCCUGAAUAACAAUUCAAUUUAUGAUCUUCAAUGCAAAAUAUCAAAGGACUAUUAAGAAAACAGCGUAUUACACACAUUUAGAACCACAGUAACCUCACAAAAAUUUCAAUCAAACAGAAUGUUUCGAUAAACAUAUCAGUUUAUUUAUACAGAUAUACCCAGCAAAUAUAGAAUGUGUUGCCCAAAGCUAAUCGAUUAUCACAUCACUUGCUCCUGGGAACUUAUCUCAGUGUGCAGAAAUGUUCAAGGACUAGUGAUCUCUUGUUUCCCAAAUAGUAACGGAAAUUCAUCGUAAUGAUCGGAUAAACCUUGUUCUUCAGCCAUGCUCUUCAGUGAUCCAUAGACCUGAUACAUGGACCACCUAUCCUUUGGGCGAGAAACCACACAGUUACAUGCAAUUUUUAAGAAUCGUACAAUUUCCUCAUCGUGCCCUUUUCCACAUAGGCGCUUAUCAAUAGCAUCUUUAAUUCGACCGGAAUUAGAAAGCAUGAUUACCCAGUCGACUAAGUUACCCUUAAAUCCUUCAUCGGCAGUACUCACACCAAGAGGUUUCUGCCCAGUAGCUAACUCGAGUAGCACUACUCCCAAACUAUAAGCAUCUCCUUUAGGUGAAGCAACCAUUGUACUUGAGUACUCGGGUGCUACAUAUCCAAAUUCACCUAAAUCCCCAUGGACAAAGCUACUCUCAUUAGAUUCGGAAGUAGUCAUGAGUCUUGCCAAUCCAAAGUCCAUUAUCCGAGCAUCCAAAUCCUCAUCGAGAAGAAUCACGUUGGAGCUAAUAUUCUGGUGCAAAAUCGGAGGGUUGCAACCAUGAUGAAGCCAAGCAAGCCCCCUCGAAGCACCCAAUCCAAUCCUAAACCUCGUUGGCCAAUCCAACAAAUCUGCGUUCCCGUUCAACAUGGAACCCAGAGUCCCAUUUGAUAAAUGCUUGUAAACCAAUAGCUUCUCAUCCUCCACUACGCAAAACCCCAACAGUGGAACCAAAUUUGGAUGCCUUAGCUGCCCUAACCUAUUCAUCUCCAACCGAAACUGCUUUUCCCCCAACUCACAUGUACUAAGCCGCUUAAUUGCAAGAGCUGAUCCAUCAGGUAACACAGCAUUGUAAGUAAUCCCCGUUCUAGUGGAGACUAUAACGUUCUCGGCACUAAAAUUACUUGUGGCAGCCAACAAAUCGACCAACUUUAGCUUCACUAGUGGUUUCUGAAACAACAUAACCUGAGUAAGCUUGUGAGCCCUCAAUAUCUCGGCCCACCCACUUCCGUCAUCUCUUCCACCAAUCCCAUAACCUCUCUUCCUUCUUUUACUAGAUCUGGUAAAAUACCACCACCACAAACCAAAAGCUAACAACAACGAAGCUGCGGCACCAAAAACCCCAGCUGCAAUAAUAAUAGCCAAAUUUUUCUUACUCAAUCCACCACAUUUUCCCAAGGGUCCUCCACAAAGCCCACUAUUCCCACUCAAAUCAAGCUCCAACAAAUCAUACUGAAACGAGGGCACCCUCCCAGAUAAAUCGUUAUUUGCAGCUGAAAAUUUUUUCAACCUUCCUAGAUUAGAAAUCUCAUAGGGUAUAUUCCCAUACAAUUUGUUAUCAUCUAAAAUCAAAUUAUUCAAAUACGCACAGUUAACAAGAUCUGAAGGUAUUUGACCGGUCAAAUCAUUAUGGGAUAUAUCCAAAGUGACCAUAUAAGGCAACCAAUUACAGAUUUGACGUGGGAUUGAACCGGAAAGACUGUUACCAGCUAGAUCCAGGGUCUGGAGGCUGUGACAAUACUGUAAAGAAUCUGGGAUUUUUCCUGUAAGGUUAAAGUCCCUGAGCUCGAGGCUGAUAAGACGAUUUUCACGGUCAUUCCAGCACGAAACACCAACGAACUUGCAAAUGAAUCCCACGGAUGAAUUUGAAAAGCUCCAAGUGUUGAGCUUCCCUUCUGGGUCAUUGAAUGAACUCUUCAGCUCUUGCAAACACUUUACAUCAUCUUCCGCAGAGACCCAUUUGGAAAACAGUAGAGAAAUCAGCAAUAAUGAGGUGAAUAUGGAUCUGCUGUGAAAAGGAGUCAUUGCUGAUGAUUCUAAGAUGGGCAAGUGUCGAAGGCUUGAGCCUUAAAGAGAGCGGAGAUUAUUUUGCGGUGGUUGGGUGUGCGAGAAAGAGAAUGUGGUUAGGUUUGUUGAGCUAUGGAGGUCACUCAACUAUGAGCAAAAUUUUAUUUUCGUUCCAAUUUCAUCACUAAAAUUUCAACUUUGUUCCCUAGAAUUUUAUCCUCUUAAAAGUUUC
rnacentral:lncRNA from 1 species